AGUUCCUAUUUAGACCCGCAAAUCCCUCUCCAGAAACGAAAAAGAUCAUCAUCUCGUCACGUUCCCCAUUUCUUGAACAUUCUUACUGCAACAUUCAUUUCCCCCAAUUCUUUAACAAAUCUCUGUGAAAGCAACACUGUAAUUCUGUUCUUGGUGAGUUUUGUGAGACAGAAAUCAUAACAAGGUAUGGCAUCAAUUCGCAAUUUCUGCUGUAAUGAUCUUCUUGGCAUAACUCCUAUACUAAUGGAUCAGUUCUCAUCAACACAAAACGGCAAACCAAUAGAUCAAGCAAAGAUGUCAUGGUAUUUGAACCAACUUGCGAAAUUAUCUAGAUACUUCUUUGUUGCUGAGUCCCCUGGCAAUCGUGUUAUUGGUUACGCGAUGCUGUGGAUUGUUUGAACAUAAUGCCCUCAACCAACCUAACUCGCAUAGGCCUCGAAGAAAUGUUAAAGGGUUCCCUAUAUGUCAAUCAUUUUUAAGGUCUUACAGAAAAUACAACAUCAAAAAAAAAGACUUGCCAUGAUGAACAGAAUUAAAGCAGCACAUGGAAAGUUUGGUGCAGCAGAAGCUACAAUAUUCAGAGGCAUCGGAAACUGGACUUUUGGUGCCUCCUACUGAGCAUUUAUAUGAGAUUUGUGACUAUACACCUUUAAAUUUUGACAGUUGUAUACAACAAUACAUGACAAGUGGCAUGUCAAGGUGAAAGCUAGAUUUACACUAUCGAUUCAUCCCGCAGUUCUGCUAUAGAGUUGUUAAGUAGUCUGCAAUGCCAUCUUGAUUUGGUGCUGCUGGUUAUAGACUUUGUUGAGGCGGAUUUAGAGUAUGCUCGAGCAUUUAGCUAAGUUUUCAAGAGUUGUCCUUUUGUUAUUUUAGCUAUGCUGGUAUGGUUCAUAUCUUGUAUUUGUGACAAAUGAGCCUAAAUCCGCUGUUACAAGUAAUGUGCAAUAUGUGGCCUCCCAAUUUUUUGUAAGUAAUAA